CAGUACUUGUGGCUCAUGGGCCUAGUUGCUCCGCGGCAUGUGGGAUCUUCCCAGACCAGGGCUCGAACCUGCAUCCCCUGCAUCGGCAGGCAGACUCUCAACCACUGCGCCACCAGGGAAGCCCCUCAACCAACACUGUCUUAUUGGGACCCCCGUUAGGCGCCUGACUUGCUCGUGCUCAAGCCUUAGGCCCCCGGCUGUGCCCCGCUGGUCGGCCAAGUCGUGUCCUGCUGUCUUUGCACCCCAGGGCCAAGCCCCACCUGGAAUGCGGCCGGUGCGGGGCCCCAGAAGGUGCGGGAAGUUAGCAUUCAAGUUACUUUCUGCUGCAUAUGGGUUGGCAGUUGGUUCUGUGUCUGAAAGAGGAGCUACCGUUUAGCUGAACCCGUGGCAGGAGGGUUCCGGACAAAGGAGUGACCUAUUUCUCACAGGGCCCCGCGAACGGUUUGGUGGCCUAGGGGAGCCACGGGUUUGCAUCAGCGAAGGCUUCUGCCCAGGAAGCCCGUCCAGCUUAUUCUGGGCAGCUGAUGGGACCUCCUGCAAUCCAGGUGAGAAGAAACCUCAGCUCAGGGCUGGCGGUGAAGGGUUGGGGACCCGCCCCCAGGGGACACAGUGGCUGGAGAACUACCCUUAUGGUUUGACGGCGGGGUCCCGUCUCCCGCUGCCAACCCUGCAGGUGGAGCUGAAUCAGGAACCACAGACAAGGCGGGACUUGGGGCCCUGUAGCCCGGUGGUCGCGUUACAGGCAAGAGGUGACUUUUGGCUCACGUGAUUCAAGACCUAUUUUGCCACAGAAAUACAAAGUAGCAAGACAAAGCAAAGAAGUCAUUAACUAUUAUUAUUGUUGCUGUAGA